rnacentral:tRNA from 1 species
GGAGAGGUGUCCGAGUGGUCGAUGGUGCAUGAUUGGAAAUCAUGUGUGGUUAACAGCCACCGCGGGUUCGAAUCCCGCCCUCUCCG